rnacentral:rRNA from 1 species
UUAUCUCCCUUGAGGUGAGGAAUACCGGCGAGAAAUCGCCGACAAAACCGCAUAGGAUUGGCAACAAUCAAAGUUUUGCUUCGCGAGAAGUGAGACGCCACAAGAUGAGCUCGCGCCCGAUUAGCUGGUUGGUGGGGUAAAGGCCUACCAAGGCGACCAUCGGUAGCUGGUCUGAGAGGAUGAUCAGCCACACUGGGAUUGAGAACGGCCCAG